UGGGGCAUGGCUUAUUAAUUUACUUGGAGGAUUAACUAGUAAGUUGUAUUUUUGUAAAUGUCUCCAGAAGCUCUGGGGCAUUCAUUUCUAAGAACACAAUGAACGAAUGCUAAUGCCUACGAGAACAUUUCCAGCCUGAAACAGACCCAGUCAUCAGCAAUACAGUACAACUUCUGUGGGACAUUGGAAGAACAGCUGUAAAAUGAUCUACAAAGACCCAUCAGAGGAGCAGUGCUGCAGAACUCUCCAUGCCCUCGGGACUGCAGUAUGUGUUUGGAGACUAAGGGCAUUCUACGGCACCACAAUAUUACAGUCUAAACCAAGAAGGCAGUGGUACCACACCCAGUUUGUAAGUCAUACAUAUGCAUCUUCAACUGUUUAUCACAAGACUUCACCAGUUUUUCUCUUCCUGAACCAGAACUGGGUCAGUUUCUACACUGUACUUGUUAGCUACGCCUUUUUUGUCCUUUACUAUCCUAUCUAGCUGUCUUUUACCACAACACUGCUGGUUUACAAGAACCAGGCCAGCUGUCUCAGAAUGUCACCUGUUCUGUUAUACUGAAGUUUUUCCUCAGAGAAGAAAAAAGAGAAACAUGAAGAUAAAUAAAUCAAUCGCAGCAGCAUCUACCUGUAAUAUCAGAAAUCAAGACAUGGAAGCAAAAUGGUCAUGAAUCUGAGGCUAGCCUGAGCACCAGGCCAGCUGGGCAAAUUAAUCUCCUCUGUAUUUCCAAGUUCUAUUUAAAGGGUUGACUGCUGUAAAGAGGUUGGCUGGUUAAAGAGUGAAUGUUUUGAGUACUUCCCAGGUGUGGUAUAGGCUUCAUACUGUAUUGUACUGGCUAGUUUUGUGACAACUUGACACAGCUGGAGUUAUCACAGAGAAAGGAGCUUCAGUUGA